UCGCAGCACUGGUGUGCGUGUCUUAUUAGGUAUAAUUCGCAGCAUUUGUGUGCGUGUUCUACCAGGUGUAAUUUGUAGCAUUUGUGUGCGUGUUCUACAAGGUAUAAUUUGUAGCAGUUGUGUGCGUGUCUUUUUAGGUGUAAUUUGUAACAGUUUUGGCGACCACGAAGGGACUCUAGGCUCGCCCCAACAAGCGAGACUACACUCCUCCUCUCGGACAGCUCCAGCCGGCAUAGGGUUAAUAAAAGCCAAGAAGGGGAAAAGAAAUAAAAUGGAGGACGAGCUAAUUCAACGCUGUAGCUGGCAGGCUCGGUCCAAAGAUAAGACACUGGCCUGCCCAAGGACACUACUCACAGUUAGGAUUUGGCUAACAGCCAAGAAAGAGGGGAGCUUGAAUGUGCCCAAGCAGCUGUGAAAUCUGCAACACACUGCCAGACAUUAAUGAAAUGUGUUAGGUCUCUGUAUUUACAGGUAAAAAAAGUCCUGCUUCAAGAAUCCUAAGCAAACCUGCCAUUUGUUAAAACCAGGUGACUGGGUCUACAUAAAGGUCCAUCAACAAAAGACUACUCUGGCUCCAUGCUGGAAAGGCCCUUAUUAAGUCCUGCUAACUACCAACACCGCUGUGAAGUGCCAAGGACUGACUGCCUGGACCCAUGC